AGAGUUUGAUCCUGGCUCAGGAUGAACGCUAGCUACAGGCUUAACACAUGCAAGUCGAGGGGCAUCGGGAAGAAAGCUUGCUUUCUUUGCCGGCGACCGGCGCACGGGUGAGUAACACGUAUCCAACCUGCCCUUUACUCGGGGAUAGCCUUUCGAAAGAAAGAUUAAUACCCGAUAGCAUAAUGAUUCCGCAUGGUUUCAUUAUUAAAGGAUUCCGGUAAAGGAUGGGGAUGCGUUCCAUUAGGUUGUUGGUGAGGUAACGGCCCACCAAGCCUUCGAUGGAUAGGGGUUCUGAGAGGAAGGUCCCCCACAUUGGAACUGAGACACGGUCCAAACUCCUACGGGAGGCAGCAGUGAGGAAUAUUGGUCAAUGGGCGCUAGCCUGAACCAGCCAAGUAGCGUGAAGGAUGAAGGCUCUAUGGGUCGUAAACUUCUUUUAUAUAAGAAUAAAGUGCAGUAUGUAUACUGUUUUGUAUGUAUUAUAUGAAUAAGGAUCGGCUAACUCCGUGCCAGCAGCCGCGGUAAUACGGAGGAUCCGAGCGUUAUCCGGAUUUAUUGGGUUUAAAGGGAGCGUAGGUGGACUGGUAAGUCAGUUGUGAAAGUUUGCGGCUCAACCGUAAAAUUGCAGUUGAUACUGUCAGUCUUGAGUACAGUAGAGGUGGGCGGAAUUCGUGGUGUAGCGGUGAAAUGCUUAGAUAUCACGAAGAACUCCGAUUGCGAAGGCAGCUCACUGGACUGCAACUGACACUGAUGCUCGAAAGUGUGGGUAUCAAACAGGAUUAGAUACCCUGGUAGUCCACACAGUAAACGAUGAAUACUCGCUGUUUGCGAUAUACAGUAAGCGGCCAAGCGAAAGCAUUAAGUAUUCCACCU
rnacentral:rRNA from 1 species